GAUGAAGAACGCAGCGAAAUGCGAUAAGUAAUGUGAAUUGCAGAAUUCAGUGAAUCAUCGAGUCUUUGAACGCACAUUGCGCCCCCUGGUAUUCCGGGGGGCAUGCCUGUCCGAGCGUCAUUGCCGCCCUCAAGCACGGCUUGUGUGUUGGGCCCCCGUCCCCGGUUCUCCCCGGGGACGGGCCCGAAAGGCAGCGGCGGCACCGCGUCCGAUCCUCGAGCGUAUGGGGCUUUGUCACCCGCUCUGUAGGCCCGGCCGGCGCCAGCCGACACCCCAACUUUAUUUUCUAAGGUUGACCUCGGAUCAGGUAGGGAUACCCGCUGAACUUAAGCAUAUCAAUAAGCGGAGGA
rnacentral:misc_RNA from 1 species